CGUUGCAAUCGUGAGAUGAUUAAGUCUCCCUACGUUUUUUUGAAGCUCGUCCUUGGCUUCAAUCAUAACCAAAAAAGGCCCAAUAUCUGAGUUUUUAUAAUAGAUAGGUUUAACGGGUUUUUUUACCUGGUUGUCUGUCGUAUUUGGACUAUUGUUUCCCACUUCAUUAUUUUUUUGUUGUUUUGCUAUCCUGGCUUGCUCUUCGUCAUAUUCAUCAUCCAUCAAAGUAUUAUCAUUAUCACCAUCACCAUCCUGAUUUUCCGUAGUAAUAGGGGGGUUGACCCCCCCAGGAUCUAACAUUUUCAGGAACCCUUGCUACUCCCAAUAUAUAAUAGUCCUCACCAAAAACAAAAGGAAAAGAAAGGUUUAAUUUAAAACAAAGGAAAAGUUGGUUAGAUUUCGCUAGGAAAAAAAAACACCCGGUUUUGAAACACGUCUAUACAGAACAAAGUUUGACAACUGAAUCCCCAAUAUAUAACAUCAACAUUUCGACACAUCAAUGUAAAGUCAAAUGGAAGAAACAAAGUUCUAGAUUCAUAAGUUUUCGGAGUUAGGUUUGACGAACCACGUGGGAAACGAGGUGAAUUUAAAAGUUAGUGUGGAAAUUGGUGUUUUUUAUCAAUCACUAAGUUAAUUUUGUGUGAGUGCGACCCUACAAAACAUUACGCAAAACCAAGUGGGGUUUGGGUCCAGCUCAGAUCCACUUUAGUGUGGGCUCCACCUGUAGUAGCAACAUGAUCCUGGAACUCCUGGCAGCUGAAGCCAUUCAUGGAAAAAGAAGAAGAAGUUCUAUAUUCAGGACACACUGCCAUAGGUGUGUUUUAUUCCAAAUCUGUCAUUUCCUGCUCGAUCAAAAUACAUCGAGAAGUUGUGUUUUAUUGGCACUCAAAUUGAGUAAUUUCCUUCAAAAGUUAUUCGUUAUCUAUGCUCGUUCAAACAAUGUCGGCGUCCUGAAAAGUCUAUAAUUAAAGAGACGAAACGUA